rnacentral:rRNA from 1 species
UACGAAGGGUGCGAGCGUUGUUCGGAAUUACUGGGCGUAAAGGGUUUGUAGGCUGAAAGAUAAGUCAAGUGUGAAAUCCCCGAGCUAAACUUGGGACGUGCAUUUGAAACUGUUUUUCUUGAGUAUCGUAGAGGGUGGUGGAAUUGUAGGUGUAGGAGUGACAUCCGUAGAGAUCUGCAGGAACAUCAGAGGCGAAGGCGACCACCUGGCCGAUUACUGACGCUGAGGAACGAAAGCGUGGGGAGCAAACAGG